CCUACGGGAGGCAGCAGUAAGGAAUAUUGGACAAUGGAGGCAACUCUGAUCCAGCCAUGCCGCGUGCAGGAAGAAGGCGCUACGCGUUGUAAACUGCUUUUGUACCAGAGAAAAUCAUUGUACGUGUACGAUGUUGAUAGUAUGGUAAGAAUAAGCAUCGGCUAACUUCGUGCCAGCAGCCGCGGUAAUACGAAGGAUGCAAGCGUUAUCCGGAUUUAUUGGGUUUAAAGGGAGCGUAGGCGGUCUUAUAAGUCAGUGGUGAAAUCUCGUUGCUUAACAACGAACGUGCCAUUGAUACUGUAGGACUUGAGUACAGUUGCCGUUGGCGGAAUGUGUCAUGUAGCGGUGAAAUGCAUAGAUAUGACACAGAACACCGAUUGCGAAGGCAGCUGACGAAACUGUAACUGACGCUGAGGCUCGAAAGCGUGGGGAUCAAACAGGAUUAGAUACCCUGGUAGUCCACGCCCUAAACUAUANAUACUCGUCUGUCGGCGAGUAUACUGUCGGUAGUACGUAGACGAAGACGUUAAGUUAAGUACCGUUACCGUUACGGGGUAGGUUACGGACCCGGCCGACGGGUUAGGAACGUAACGUUAAGUUAGUUAGUUAGGACGGCGAGAGAGCGACGACGGACGACGACGGAGGAGGAG
rnacentral:rRNA from 1 species